UACGAAGGGGGCUAGCGUUGCUCGGAAUGACUGGGCGUAAAGGGCGCGUAGGCGGACUGUACAGUCAGGCGUGAAAUUCCUGGGCUUAACCUGGGGGGCUGCGCUUGAGACGUAGGGUCUAGAGUUCGGAAGAGGGUCGUGGAAUUCCCAGUGUAGAGGUGAAAUUCGUAGAUAUUGGGAAGAACACCGGUGGCGAAGGCGGCGAC
rnacentral:rRNA from 1 species